rnacentral:lncRNA from 1 species
CAAAAAUCAAUUGCCCAUAAAUGUAUGAAUUUACUUAUUUCUGGACUCUCAAUUCUGUUCCAGUGAUCUAUAUGUCUAUCCUUAUGCCAGUACCACAUAGUCUUGAUUGCUAGAGCUUUGUAAAAGAUUUCAAAAUAGGAAGGUAUGAGUCUGCCAAUGUUUCCUUCUUAAGAUUAUUUUGACCUUUCUAGGUCCCUUGCAUUUCCACAUGAAUUUUAGGACCAACUUAUCAAUAUCUGCCAAAUAGUCAGCUGGGAUUUUGAUAGGAA